CUGUUUAUGAAACCAAAAAAAAAAAACAGCAUUUUUUAUGGGAAAUAAUUUGGAGUAAUAGGAUAUUUCACAGCUGCCAAACAUGAGAGGAGUUCAGCGGCGACGGCGAGAGGAGGGGAUGCUCGGAAAUCGUAAAUGACUGUGUACCCACCAUCUGCGCGCCUUCUUCUCUCUUUUUCCUUUUGCCUUUACUCUUCUUGUUGUUUCCAUCGCGGCUUCAGCUGCCUACUUUGAGCUACCGUGAGGGUUUGCCGAUAAUGGCGACGGCACUUGUGCCCUUGCGGAGUUGCAGGCGGGAGAUCAGCAACCCCUCCAUCAUCUUCUUCUUCCCUCAAGGUUGUGGCUUGGGUAAUAAGGUCAAGAUAAUCAAUCACAGGUGCCUCUCCAUCCAAAUUUCCUGGAGGUUGAAUGUAUCAUUUCAGAUGAAGCUCCAUCAUCUUCAGAUUCCUCUACAGGUUUUUAGUCAAAUGGAAGAAUUAACCUCUUUUUGACAACACUUGGAUUACUAACAGACCUGAAUAUGCUUGAACCAGAACUAGUGGAUGCCUGGAUGGCUAUCAUAAUUUUAACUUUGUAUAGAUUCAAUGCAACAUGACUUUUCUUUUUGGGAUCACAAGUGCGAGCUAUUAUUCUGUGCAGAUGCCCGGACGGUUCUCCCGUCCGGUUACGCGCUCGGUACUGAGCGCUCUACAUUUUUGAGGCGGCGUGGUGCAUUUUUAUUGGUCUCCGGACGUUUCCGGACGCCGCUCAUAAUAAUUUUUCCACAAGCGCAGUUUCAGUUCAGCUGACUUUUCUUUUUGGGAUCACAAGUGCAGUUUCAGUUCAGCUAACUUUUCUUUUUGAGGGCAAUAAUUAACUAUCCGGCUGAAGUUUUCAAUUAAUUGAGUCAUUUCUUAGACAGUCAUGUUCAAUGCUUUGCCUGUCCCCCACAGCUGUCUGUGCCAGUGCAGCCAAGUUUCCCUGCAUUCACUUUUGUAACAGCUUUAAUUUGAAAGUUUUUUUCUUUUGUUCUUGAUAAUCUAAAGGUUACUGUUUAUCCCACUUGAGAUAUUAACAGUUUACCACCUCAUAUUUUCUCUA